rnacentral:misc_RNA from 1 species
AACUGCUCGUGAGGUUCCUGCGGGC